rnacentral:lncRNA from 1 species
AACGUAUACUCAUUUCCUUAGGGAGUCGGAUGGUUCUCAUAAACUCUUUUAUAAAGUAAAUGCGCUCCCUUUACACUUUGAUGCUUAAUGAGAAAAUAACUUUGAUUAAUACGAUCCACAGAUCUCAGAUCCAAUGGCUAAUGUGGAUGACAAAGGGAAUGGGCGCACAAUAAACACGCGUGGGUUGGGAUUUUAUGAACC